CUCCCGCCUCUGGAUAUUGAAAUUACCCUCCAGGCUACAGUCGGACUUUGCUGGUAAACUGUACUACUACGGACGGUUUGGGCGACAAGUGAGUUUAGGAGCCCUGGAAAGACAUGGUGAGAAGGUGGCUGCCUGCAAGCCAGGAAGAGUUCUUACUAGGAAUGAAAUCAGCCAGUACCUUGAUAUUGACUUUCCAGCCUCCAGAACUAUUUCCAACUUUAGUGUUUGGAGACCAAAGUGAAAAUAAUGUAUCCUCUUGACUACCGGAUGGCACUGCAUGGGUCACUCCUGAGGAAUGUCUGUCCUUGGACAGGUGGAAACAGCUCGUGCAAGACAGACAGAGAAUUCCACCCUCUCACAGAUUGACCACUAGGAGGUGCUCAACAUGGAGAAUAAAAAGUAGAUGGCA